UACGAAGGGGGCUAGCGUUGUUCGGAAUCACUGGGCGUAAAGCGCACGUAGGCGGAUCUUUAAGUCAGGGGUGAAAUCCCGAGGCUCAACCUCGGAACUGCCUUUGAUACUGGGGAUCUCGAGUCCGGGAGAGGUGAGUGGAACUGCGAGUGUAGAGGUGAAAUUCGUAGAUAUUCGCAAGAACACCAGUGGCGAAGGCGGCUCACUGGCCCGGAACUGACGCUGAGGAGCGAAAGCGUGGGUAGCAAACAGG
rnacentral:rRNA from 1 species